GAUGAACGCUGGCGGCGUGCCUAAUACAUGCAAGUCGAGCGAAUGGAUUAAGAGCUUGCUCUUAUGAAGUUAGCGGCGGACGGGUGAGUAACACGUGGGUAACCUGCCCAUAAGACUGGGAUAACUCCGGGAAACCGGGGCUAAUACCGGAUAACAUUUUGAACCGCAUGGUUCGAAAUUGAAAGGCGGCUUCGGCUGUCACUUAUGGAUGGACCCGCGUCGCAGUAGCUAGGUGGUGAGGUAACGGCUCACCAAGGCAACGAUUCGUAGCCGACCUGAGAGGGUGUCCGGCCACACUGGGACUGGGACACGGCCCAGACUCCGACGGGAGGCAGCAGUAGGGAAUCUUCCGCAAUGGACGAAAGUCUGACGGAGCAACGCCGCGUGAGUGAUGAAGGCUAUCGGGUCGUAAAACUCUGUUGUUAGGGAAGAACAAGUGCUAGGUGAAUAAGCUGGCACCUUGACGGUACCUAACCAGAAAGCCACGGCUAACUACGUGCCAGCCGCCGCAGUAA
rnacentral:rRNA from 1 species